UGACAUGCUAUGUUUAUGUGAAUGGAACCCU
rnacentral:piRNA from 1 species